CCCACUUUUUUUCCCCUCCGGGAGAAGAAUUGCAACACCCUGAGCCCUUAUUUCGCCACGCGGGAUUGUGGGUGGGGGUUGGGGUGGGAAAGGAAAAGCCAGAGAAGGCGCCCGGGGGAGGCUUGGGAACUUUACGGGAUUUCCCCACCCCCACCCCGAGAACCUGAGCACUCUGGUGCGAAUGAAUGGGUUGAUUUAAAAAAAUAGCCAAUCAUAAAAUGAAACAAACAAUCAUAAAAUGAAUGUGAGCUGUUUUAAUCAUUUCACUUUGUGGUGGUCAUCACAGCAAAUGCUUGGAAUAAAGUUCAGGCUGAAACUAUACAGAAGCACUUCAAGAAAGCUGGAUUUGUUACAAUGCAAGAGCAAGAUGUUGCAUCCCCACUAGGCAACCCUCCUCCCAUGGAGGGAUUUGAUGGAGUAUAGAUUUUUAAAUUUAUUGCAAUGGAUGACGACGUGGCAAUGUGCAAUGAACCUGACCUAGAAGCAAUUGGAAUGAGUUACAACCCAGAAGAAAAAUGCUGGAAGCAAAUGUUGAAGCAGAAUAAUAAAGUGAAGAAUUAGGUGAGGACACAGAAAUUGCAGAUAUUCCGAAAGAAGAGGAUGUCAAUCAUUUGAUAAGGCAAUUAAAGUCAUUUGCCGUGGAAAAAUGCCCAGGUAUUCUGAGUGAUAUAACCAGCAUUGAGAGUGCUUUCUCCACUUACUUUCAUAAAAAGAAUAACUAAAAUCGACAUUUUUUCAAAAAGAAUGAACAGACCAUGAGAAAAAAAUACAUGCGUAAAUAUUGAUUUUGUAUGAUAUAGUAUUCUAUAAUUUCCCUGCUUUCCCUGUUUCUGUAUGACAUUCUCUAAUAAAAGUUGUACAAAAUGA